rnacentral:lncRNA from 10 species
GGGCUCAGGGGCCUGGGACACGGGGCGGGGCCGCGCCUCUCUCGCUCCGGGUCCCACGCGCCCCGGCCUCCUCCCGGCACUGUCCCCCGGGGAGCCCCGAGGCCCGGCCACACCCAGGGCGCUCCUGAAGCCGCCGCAGCUGCUGUGCGAGGCCGGGCCGACCCGCCUGGGGCGCGUGGGUGGGGCGGGAGCGCAGCCGCAGCCCGGCGGCGACACAGGCCCGGGGCCAGCCGGGGACGGAAAAAGUGAGUGCGCGGCGGCGCGGGGCGGCCUGACGGGAAGGCGGGAGGCGAAGUGCUGACUGCGCCGCGGUCUCUCAGCCGCCAACACACCGCGGACGCCCGGGGACAGCGACCGCUUCCUCCCUCCCCGCCCGCCUUGUCUCUUCACCAUCGUGGCUCACUGCGGCCUCCACCUCCGGGACUCCAGGGAUCCUCCCGCCUCAGCCUCCCGAGGAGCUGGGACCACCGCACCUGGCUAAUUUUAAAAUUUUUCCUUAGAGACAGGAUCUCACUUUGCUGCCCAGGCUGGUCUCAAACUCCUGGGCUCAAGCGACCCUCCCGCCUCGGCCUCCCAAAGUGCCACCGUGCCAAGCCUCAGUUAGGUUUUUAAUUUUAAUUUGGCAUUGUUUGAUGCUCAGACUGCUGCCGUGUCAUUUUCACACGACAGCAAGUUGGGGACAGCGAGUUGUUCUGUCCUGCGCGUGUGUCCCCUCAUGGUCUUGAGUGACCUGACCCUCUGUGGGGAGCCCUGAGCCUCCUCCCUGCUCCCGCGGCCCCAGCUCUCAGCUGAUGGAGGCUCCGGGGCGGGCUCAAGCCCCCGGCCGGCUUUGGACGGCUUUGCCGUUGCCGAGCCAGCGCCGUGAGCUCGUGGGCUCUGCGUCUGCACAUGUUUGCCGGUGACCUCUGGGAAGUGUUUCGACGAGGAUGGGGGUUGAGGGGGCAAAGGGCAAGUGCCCACCGCCUACCAGACAGCACCGGUGCGUCUCCAGCUCGGCUUCCCCGCCAGCCCCUCAGGCCUGCUCCCUGCUGCCUCGCCAACAGCCGCACCGUUGUCAGAGCUCUGUCAGCCUGGUGGAUGUAGUUUCAACUUGUAUUUUUGUUGAGAGAACCUGAACAACCUUUCAUUGUUUAAGGGAUAUGGGUAUGCACGCAGGCACUGCCGUAUAUACAUAUAUUGUAGAUACACACGUCCGCACACCUGUACACACACACCCACACACAUACCCCUGUGUAUGUACAUACACACAUUUGUAUGCACACAUAUGUCUACACACGUGUAGACACGUGCACACACAGGCUCACGCACACACAUUUUCUCUGAGCUGUUGGGUUAUGUCUCCUGCACUUUCUCGUGUAUUUUUGACCUUGCUUUUUCCAGACUCUUAGAUCUUCCUACGACUGGCAUAUUCGCUCUUUUGUGGUGGUGCAAACAUUUUCCCUCAGUUUGUUUAUGAUUUUUUUUGCCAAGCUAAAGUUUUUUGUUUUCCAAUAUAUGGAGUUCAGUGUAUCAGUCUUCUCUUUAAUUGUUGCCUGAUGUCCUUUAUUCAUUGGGAAUGCCUUCCCCUCCCACACUGCAAGAAUGCACCCACGGUUUCUUGUUUCUUGUAGGGUUCCUUUUUUUUUCUUUUUUGAGACGGAGUCUUGCUGUGUCGCCCAGGCUGGAGUGCAGUGGCAUGAUCUCGGCUCACUGCAAGCUCCGCCUCCCGGGUUCACGCCAUUCUCCUGCCUCAGCCUCCCGAGUAGCUGGGACCACAGGUGCCCGCCACCAUGCCCGGCUAAUUUUUUGUGUUUUUAGUAGAGACAGGGUUUCACCGUGUUAGCCAGGAUGGUCUCAAUCUCCUGACCUUGUGAUCCACCCGCCUCGACCUCCCAAAGUGCUGGGAUCACAGGCGUGAGCCACCACGCGCGGCCAGGGUUCUUUUUGUAUGCUUUUCUCUCUGCUGCAUUUGGGAUUUUGUGCAUAUGAGUCUAACUUAAUACUUUUCCAGAUGGCUAUCCCUAUCCCUGGGCAGUUGGUUAAAAAGUCGUUUUUCCCCUCACUGAUUUGGGUCGCAGGGACUGGGCCUGUUCCUGUGUCUUCUGGUGCUUAUCCCACCCUGUUUUCAUUACAGUAAGUUUCCCCUGAGCUCAUAAAGCUGGUCCUCUUUCACUUUCUUUUCAUGGUUUUUUUGGCUGUUACUUGCUUGUUAAUUUUUCCAUAUGAGCAUGGUAGUUCCAGAACUGUGGUUUUUACUGGGAUCGUAUUAAAUUUACAAAUUGUAUCGGAAGAACGUGCAUGUUUGCAGCUGUGGCGCCUCUUCGGGG